rnacentral:rRNA from 1 species
AGGUGAUUAUUGCGGCGGGGUUCCACCUCUUCCCAUUCCGAACAGAGAAGUUAAGCCCGCCAGCGCCGAUGGUACUGCAGAAAUGUGGGAGAGUAGGUCGUCGCCUUUCU